UACAGAGGUCUCAAGCGUUUGUUCGGAUUCAUUGGGCGUAAAGGGCGCGUAGGCGGUUCGUACAGUCAGACGUGAAAUUCCUGGGCUCAACCUGGGGGCUGCGUUUGAUACGUGCGGACUUGAGUGCGGAAGAGGGUCGUGGAAUUCCCAGUGUAGAGGUGAAAUUCGUAGAUAUUGGGAAGAACACCGGUGGCGAAGGCGGCGACCUGGUCCGAUACUGACGCUGAGGCGCGAAAGCGUGGGGAGCAAACAGG
rnacentral:rRNA from 1 species